rnacentral:lncRNA from 13 species
CAGGUGGUGCUAUGCCUAUUGUUGACAGUGGACAUGCAGCAGGCAAGCAAUUCCCGAAGAAGAUUGUUUACACUCCUUAUAUUGUUACCCAACCAAACACCACCCAGUGUGGACUUUCAAGAUCAUCUAUCGACUAGACUAGCCAGUUAUCUAGAUACACUGUAGCUGGUGUAGUUAAACAAUAAUGGAAGAUGGAAGCCUUCCUCGUAUUGUGGUCAUUGCACUGUCUGUGCUGAUCUACAUUUCUGCUUUAGCAAUUAAUGCUAUGGCAGGCGCUGGAAAGGGACCAUUCCAUUCGAGUACAGGGAACAUUUCCAAGAAGUAUGAAACCGACAUAACUCCGGCCGGAUGGACCUUUUCUAUCUGGGGGCUCAUCUACACCUGGUUGUCUCUCAUGCUCAUCUAUGUCAUCUCCUUCCUCUACAGAAGGAGCUGGACCCUCUCUGUGCUGCCGUACGGUUUCUAUGUGUCCUGGAUAGUCAACAUGGCCUUCAACAUGAUCUGGCUUGUCCUAUGGGUUCAAGAGCAGAUGACUGCUGCGUUGAUUAUACUGGGGAUCAUUGCUGUCACCAACUACUCUAUGAUAUUUUUCUCCUGCUAUGGGCUGAGUGUUUACGGAGCCUGGCUCAGCCAGAACCAACCUAGUGAUCUUUGGUGCAUCCGGGUGCUGGUGCUGAAUGGCAUUGCCCUGUAUGCCACAUGGACAACCAUCGCCACUCUGAUCAACUUCACCCUGGUGUUGGACCUCUCUGGAGUGGCAAAUAGCACUGCAGCCACCGUGUCUCUCUGUAUCCUACUGGUGGAGGUGAUCGGAUGGUUUGGUAUUGAGAACUUCCUGCUGGAUCAGCAUGUGAGGUACAUCCUGACUAUUUACCCUGUGGUGAUCUUUGCUCUGGUUGGGAAUGUGUUCAAACACUAUGACCCUGCAGCACCAAGCGCAAACGCUAUCUUCAUGGUUUGUCUCUUGGUGGUUUCCUGUGUGCUCCUGGUGGUGCGAGUCGCCUUGGUGUUCAGGAGAAAUCGGAACCAGCCCCUGUACGCUGGCAUGAGCCUGGAGGCUCUGAUCUCGCCCAGCAGCCUGAACAAGAAGCAGAAUAAGAUAUUAAUGUAGAAGACUGGUACACACCACAAUACCAUCUUUUC